UAACCGGCGAUUUCCGAAUGGGGAAACCCAGUGUGUUUCGACACACUAUCAUUAACUGAAUCCAUAGGUUAAUGAGGCGAACCGGGGGAACUGAAACAUCUAAGUACCCCGAGGAAAAGAAAUCAACCGAGAUUCCCCCAGUAGCGGCGAGCGAACGGGGAGGAGCCCAGAGCCUGAAUCAGUGUGUGUGUUAGUGGAAGCGUCUGGAAAGGCGCGCGAUACAGGGUGACAGCCCCGUACACAAAAAUGCACAUACUGUGAGCUCGAUGAGUAGGGCGGGACACGUGGUAUCCUGUCUGAAUAUGGGGGGACCAUCCUCCAAGGCUAAAUACUCCUGACUGACCGAUAGUGAACCAGUACCGUGAGGGAAAGGCGAAAAGAACCCCGGCGAGGGGAGUGAAAAAGAACCUGAAACCGUGUACGUACAAGCAGUGGGAGCCUCUUAAUGGGGUGACUGCGUACCUUUUGUAUAAUGGGUCAGCGACUUAUAUUCUGUAGCAAGGUUAACCGAAUAGGGGAGCCGAAGGGAAACCGAGUCUUAACUGGGCGUUAAGUUGCAGGGUAUAGACCCGAAACCCGGUGAUCUAGCCAUGGGCAGGUUGAAGGUUGGGUAACACUAACUGGAGGACCGAACCGACUAAUGUUGAAAAAUUAGCGGAUGACUUGUGGCUGGGGGUGAAAGGCCAAUCAAACCGGGAGAUAGCUGGUUCUCCCCGAAAGCUAUUUAGGUAGCGCCUCGUGAAUUCAUCUCCGGGGGUAGAGCACUGUUUCGGCAAGGGGGUCAUCCCGACUUACCAACCCGAUGCAAACUGCGAAUACCGGAGAAUGUUAUCACGGGAGACACACGGCGGGUGCUAACGUCCGUCGUGAAGAGGGAAACAACCCAGACCGCCAGCUAAGGUCCCAAAGUCAUGGUUAAGUGGGAAACGAUGUGGGAAGGCCCAGACAGCCAGGAUGUUGGCUUAGAAGCAGCCAUCAUUUAAAGAAAGCGUAAUAGCUCACUGGUCGAGUCGGCCUGCGCGGAAGAUGUAACGGGGCUAAACCAUGCACCGAAGCUGCGGCAGCGACGCUUAUGCGUUGUUGGGUAGGGGAGCGUUCUGUAAGCCUGUGAAGGUGGCCUGUGAGGGUUGCUGGAGGUAUCAGAAGUGCGAAUGCUGACAUAAGUAACGAUAAAGCGGGUGAAAAGCCCGCUCGCCGGAAGACCAAGGGUUCCUGUCCAACGUUAAUCGGGGCAGGGUGAGUCGACCCCUAAGGCGAGGCCGAAAGGCGUAGUCGAUGGGAAACAGGUUAAUAUUCCUGUACUUGGUGUUACUGCGAAGGGGGGACGGAGAAGGCUAUGUUGGCCGGGCGACGGUUGUCCCGGUUUAAGCGUGUAGGCUGGUUUUCCAGGCAAAUCCGGAAAAUCAAGGCUGAGGCGUGAUGACGAGGCACUACGGUGCUGAAGCGACAAAUGCCCUGCUUCCAGGAAAAGCCUCUAAGCAUCAGGUAACAUUAAAUCGUACCCCAAACCGACACAGGUGGUCAGGUAGAGAAUACCAAGGCGCUUGAGAGAACUCGGGUGAAGGAACUAGGCAAAAUGGUGCCGUAACUUCGGGAGAAGGCACGCUGAUAUGUAGGUGAAGCGACUUGCUCGUGGAGCUGAAAUCAGUCGAAGAUACCAGCUGGCUGCAACUGUUUAUUAAAAACACAGCACUGUGCAAACACGAAAGUGGACGUAUACGGUGUGACGCCUGCCCGGUGCCGGAAGGUUAAUUGAUGGGGUUAGCGGUAACGCGAAGCUCUUGAUCGAAGCCCCGGUAAACGGCGGCCGUAACUAUAACGGUCCUAAGGUAGCGAAAUUCCUUGUCGGGUAAGUUCCGACCUGCACGAAUGGCGUAAUGAUGGCCAGGCUGUCUCCACCCGAGACUCAGUGAAAUUGAACUCGCUGUGAAGAUGCAGUGUACCCGCGGCAAGACGGAAAGACCCCGUGAACCUUUACUAUAGCUUGACACUGAACAUUGAGCCUUGAUGUGUAGGAUAGGUGGGAGGCUUUGAAGUGUGGACGCCAGUCUGCAUGGAGCCGACCUUGAAAUACCACCCUUUAAUGUUUGAUGUUCUAACGUGGGCCCCUUACCGGGGUUGCGGACAGUGUCUGGUGGGUAGUUUGACUGGGGCGGUCUCCUCCUAAAGAGUAACGGAGGAGCACGAAGGUUGGCUAAUCCUGGUCGGACAUCAGGAGGUUAGUGCAAUGGCAUAAGCCAGCUUGACUGCGAGCGUGACGGCGCGAGCAGGUGCGAAAGCAGGUCAUAGUGAUCCGGUGGUUCUGAAUGGAAGGGCCAUCGCUCAACGGAUAAAAGGUACUCCGGGGAUAACAGGCUGAUACCGCCCAAGAGUUCAUAUCGACGGCGGUGUUUGGCACCUCGAUGUCGGCUCAUCACAUCCUGGGGCUGAAGUAGGUCCCAAGGGUAUGGCUGUUCGCCAUUUAAAGUGGUACGCGAGCUGGGUUUAGAACGUCGUGAGACAGUUCGGUCCCUAUCUGCCGUGGGCGCUGGAGAACUGAGGGGGGCUGCUCCUAGUACGAGAGGACCGGAGUGGACGCAUCACUGGUGUUCGGGUUGUCAUGCCAAUGGCACUGCCCGGUAGCUAAAUGCGGAAGAGAUAAGUGCUGAAAGCAUCUAAGCACGAAACUUGCCCCGAGAUGAGUUCUCCCUGACUCCUUGAGAGUCCUGAAGGAACGUUGAAGACGACGACGUUGAUAGGCCGGGUGUGUAAGCGCAGCGAUGCGUUGAGCUAACCGGUACUAAUGAACCGUGAGGCUUAACCU
rnacentral:rRNA from 1 species